CGGUCAUUUUAACUUUUUAGGUCUUUGUUCACAGAUUUACAGGCUUCAGGGCGCUGGUCGUGAGUAGGAGGCGGCCUGGGAGGCAGCGCGCCUGCUGUGCGGGGUGUGUCUGAGGCUCCUUGAGCCCAACAGCCCGAGAUUGGGAUCCCCGUGCCUCCCGGACUCCUCUCUGCUCACAGCGUCCCCGCAGCCUGACCCCAUUUCACCCUCCAGCCUUGGGGACCGGCCCCUCAGGUUCCGCCGCCCAGGUCCCAGCGCUCAGAAUGAGGAAGGACAGACUAGAAGACAGAGGACAGCAGUUGUGGACAGGAAGGAGAAGUCCUGUAAAUGAUAAGGUUGUUGGCAU